rnacentral:rRNA from 1 species
ACACGUAGGGGCCUGACGUUGUUCGGAAUCAUUGGGCGUAAAGGGCGCGCAGGCGGCCGUCCGAGUCCGGUGUUAAAUGGUCGGGCUCAACCCGAUCAUGCGCUGGAAACUGGGCGGCUUGAGUCCCGUAGGGGAUGCCGGAAUUCCAGGUGUAGGGGUGAAAUCUGUAGAUAUCUGGAAGAACACCGAUGGCGAAGGCAGGCAUCUGGCCGGAGACUGACGCUGAGGCGCGAAGGCGCGGGGAGCGAACAGGUUUAGAUACCCUGGUAGUCCGCGCAGUAAACGAUGCGCACCAGGUGUCGGGCGGCAGCGCCCGGUACCGGAGCUAACGCGAUGAGUGCGCCGCCUGGGGAGUAUGCCCGCAAGGGUGAAACUCAAAGGAAUUGACGGGG